CGCGGGCCCUCGCGACGCGGACUCACCGCCCCACGGCUCCACUCCUCGUCACCUAACGCAGGAACCGGAAGUACCCGUGGGCGGACGGAGCGGAACCCGGAAGUGAGGCUACUCACAAGAUGCCUUUGACAACAGCAAGAUUUAAAUGACCACUGGACUGUGAGCUCCUGGAAGGGGGUGAAUUGGUCUAAUUUGUAUUUGUAUUUCUAUUGCCCUGCACAUGAUCAGACAAAAAUAGAACCUGGAUUGUUUUUCUUUUUUUGUAAUUAACAGGAGCGCAGCAAAGUGCUCAGCUGAAAAGUACUGUAGACCCUGCUGCUAGGUAGAAAGUAUUUCACAGAAGAAAAAGAGAUGGGGGUAGGUGGAAGCAGAAGGCAUCAUGAAGCAGUGGAAUUUAGACCUGAGGCAACGAUUUGGCUUACCAGAAUGCUUACACAUUAUCUUGAUAAUGGACAUGAUACCUCAUGGGGAUUUUAUUUUAAAAUAAGUAGAGAAAUGCUCAGGUUUGUCAGGCAUAAACUUACUUAUGAGAUAGCACACACGUAAGACCCCAAGACACUAGUUUGUUAUUGUUGUUGUUAGGUGCAAUCAAGUCGGUUGCAACUCAUAGCAACCCCACGUACAAUAGAACGAAACACUGCCCAGUCCUGCACCAUCCUAGCAGUCGUUGUUAUGCUUGAGCUCAUUGUUGCAGCCACUGUGUCAAUGCAUUUUGUGGAGAGUCUCCCUCUCUUCUGCUGACCCUCUGCCAAGCAUGAUGUCCUUCUCCAAGGGCUCUCCUGAUAACAUGUCCAAAUACAUGAGAUGAAGUCUCGCUAUUCUUGCUUCUAAGGAGCGUUCUGGUUGUACUUCUAAGAAAGAUUUGUUUGUUUUUCUGUCAGUACAUGGCAUAUUCAAUACUCUUCAACAAUAUCAUAAUUAAAAGGCAUCAAUUCUUCCUCUGUCUUCCUUAUUUACCCUUCAGCUUUUCACACGCAUAUGAGGCGAUCGAAAAUACCAUUGCUUGGGUCAGCCAAGCCUUAGUCCUCAAAGUGACAUCUUUGCUUUUUAACAUUUUAAAGAGACGUUUGGCAGCCAAAAAAACAAAACCAAACCCGUUGCCGUCGAGUCGAUUCCAACUCAUAGCGACCCUAUAGGACAGAAUAGAACUGCCCCAUAGAGUUUCCAAGGAGUGCCUGAUGGAUUCAAACUGCUGACCUUUUGGUUAGCAAUCAUAGCUCUUAACCACUACACCACCAGGGAUUCCCUCUUUGGCAGCAGAUUUGCCCAGUGCAAUAUGUCCUUUGAUUUCUUGACUGCGGCUUCCGUGGGCAUUGAUCAUGGAUCCAAGUAAAAUGAAAUCCUUGACGGCUUCAAUAUUUUCUCUGUUUAGCAUGGCGUUGCUUAUUGUUCCAGUUGUGAGGAUAUUUGUUUUAUUUAUGUUGAGGCGUAAUCCAUUCUGAAGGCUAUAGUCUUUGAUCUUCAUCAGUAAGUGCUUCAAGUCCCCUUCACUUUUGGCAAGCAAGGUUGGGUCAUCUGCAUAUUGCAGGUUGUUAAUGAGUCUUCUUCCAAUCCUGAUACCAAGUUCUUUUUUAUGUAGUCCAGCCUCUCAGAUUAUUUGCUCAACAUACAGAUUGAAUAAGUAUGGUGAAAGGAUACAACCCUGAUGCACACUUUUUCUGAUUUUAAACCACGCAGUAUCCCUUCGUUCUGUCUGAAAGACUGCCUCUUGGUCUAUGUACAGGUUCUUCAUGAGCACAAUUAAGUACGUGGCGUGGAAUUCUCAUUCUUUACAAUGUUAUCCAUAAUUGUUAUGAUCCACACAUUCAAAUGCCUUUGCAUAGUCAAUAAAACACAGGUAAACAUCUUUCUGGUAUUCUCUGCUUUCAGCAAGAUCCAUCUGACAUCAGCAGUGAUGUUCCUCAUUCCACUUCCUCUUCUGAACCUGGCUUGAAUUUCUGGUAGUUCUCUUUCAAGGUACUGCUGCAACUGCUUUUGAAUUAUAUUCAGCAAAAUUUUACUUGCUUGUGAUAUUAAUGAUUAAAAUUGUUUGAUAAUUUCCACAUUCUGUUGGAUCACCUUUCUUUGGAAUGGGCACAAAUAUGGAUCUCUUCAGUCAGUUGGCCAGGUAGCUGUCUUAAAAAUUUCUUGGCAUAGAUGAGUGAGCACCUCCAGCAUUGCAUCCAUUUGUUGAAACUUCUCAAUUGGUAUUCCAUCAAUUCCUGAAGGCUUAUUUUUCACCAAUGCAGCUUGUACCCUUCCUUCCUUACCAUUGGUUCUUGAUCAUAUGCUACUUCCUGAAAUGGCUGAAUGUUGACCAGUUCUUUUUGGAGCAGUGACUCUGUGUAUUCCUUCCGUCCUCUUUUGAUGCUUCCUGCAUUGUUCAAUAUUUUGCCCACAGAGUUCUGCAGUAUUGCAACUGAAGGCUUGAAUUUUUUCUUCAGUUCUUUCAGCUUGAGAAAUGCCCAGCAUGUUCUUUUCCCCUUUUAGUUUUUUAACUCCAGGUCUUUGCACAUUUCAUUAUAAUACUUUAUUGUGUCUUCUUUAGCUGCCCUCUGUCCUGCUCUUUUACUUCAUUAUUUCUUCCAUUCACUUUAGCUACUCUAUGUUCAAGAGCAAGUUUCAGAGUCUCUUCUGACAUCCGUUUUGGUUUUUUUGUUUCUUUCCUGUCUUUUUAAUGACCUUUUGCUUUCUUCAUAUAUGAUGUCCUUGAUGUCAUCUCACAGCUCAUCUGGUCUUUGGUCAUUAGUGUUCAAUGAGUCAAAUCUAUCCUUGAGAUGGUCUUUAAAUUUAGGUGGUAUAUACCCAAGAUUGUACUUUGUCUCUGGUGGGCUUGUUUUAAUUUUCUUCAGCUUCAGCUUGCAUAUGAGAAUUGAUGGUCUGUUCCGAAGUCGGCACCUGGCCUUGUUCUGACUGAUGAUACUGAGCUUCUUCACCAUCUCUUUGCACAGAUAGUCGAUUUGAUUUCUGUGUAUUCCAUCCAGUGAGAUCCAUGUGUGUAGUCACCAUGUAUGUUGUUGAAAAAAAGUACUUGCAAUGAAUAAGUUGUUGGUCUUGCAAAAUGCUAUCAUUUGAUCUCUGGCAUCAUUUCUGUCACCAAGACUGUAUCCUGCAAUUACCGAUCCUUCUUCUGGAGCCCUGGUGGCGCAAUGGUUAAGAGCUAUGGCAAGCUACAGCUGCUAACCAAAAGGUCAGUAGUUUGAAUCUACCAGUUGCUCCUUGGAAACUGUACGGGGCAGUUCUACUCUGUUCUGUAGGGUCACUAUGAAUUGGAAUUGACCCAAUGGCAAUGAGUUUUUUAAUGCCUAGGAUAUCAAUCAUUCAUUUAGACAUUCGCUUAGACUUGGAGAAUAGGGUACAAUAAAGUUAGUCCAUUGAUUAAAGUCUGAGUCUUCAGCUUUCAGCUGUUUACCUUUAACGAGUAGUCUCAGGAGGAAGGCUUGACCAAUAACUCCUCCUCGGGCGAGGUUCCACGCAUAGCUUGGGUCCAGGGUUGGUAGCAGGGAAGUCUCCAGCAGAGCCUCUGGCAACCUGUCUUCAGAGAGGGUCAGAGACUUGAUUGGCAGAGUCAUUCAGCCUCUCCCUUGCUCUCUUUGGAAAAGCAAAUUCCCAGGGGGUUUUAUGUGGUUUAGCCUAAGGAUCUUAUGGGGAAGAGAGCUGUGCCCAGCUCAUAGUGCAUCAGGGUAACUCACGUCAUAGGUUCGUAAUCAGGGGGUGCACUUUAGGGGUAUCUUAACAUAGAUAAGCUAAGGGCUAUGCCAUACCAUAUCACAGCAAGGUUGUUAGUUGCCGCUGAGUCAGUCUUGACUCAUGGCAACUGCACGUGUGCAGAAUAGAACUGCUCCAUAAUGUUUUCAAGGCUGUGGCCUUUCAGAAGCAGAUCUACACACCUGUCAUCUCUGGGUGUCUUCGAACUGCCAACCUUUCAGCUGGUAGUCCAUCGCUUAACCAUUUUUGAAACUCUGAGACUCCUACGACAAGGUUGUGGCUGAUAAAAUUAGAAGUUGUUUAUGCCAGAGAGGUCAUUUGUCAGUUUUAGGUUGUUUACAACUUAGCUUAAAUGUUUAAGUCGCACAUUCCGUGUUUCACACGUACGUGAUUUGCGAUCACUACGUUAUAAGAAUACAUCACACAGGAAAAUACGUCUACGGUCAUUUUAGAGUGCAAUUUGGCAGUAAGUAUCAAUAUUAAAAACGUGACAGGAAAUUUCACUUCAAGGAAAUAACUGGCACGUGGACAAAAAUAGACAUUAAGAUAUUCAGCCCAGGGAUUUUAUAUGAGUUUAAAGCUGUCUAAAUAUUCAUUGAUAAGAGAAUUUAUACAAAUAUAGUACUUUUAAACAGACAUUAAAACAUAUUAAUCAUAAUAUUAUUAAGGAUGCAUGAAAAUUGUGUUACUUUUUGAGAUGCUAUUUUGUGACUAAAACAAAAAAAUGUUGAAAAGACCAUUUAAAUACACAUGAAUUGAAUUGUGUCCCUCAAAAUAUGUGUUUAGUUUCUGGCCUUUGUACCUGUGGAUAUGAUCCUAUUUGGAAAGAGGGUUUUUCUUUGGUUUUGUUAAUAAGGUCAUACCAGAGUAGGGUGGAUCCUAAAUCUAAUCGCUUCUGAGUUAUAAAAAGACCAGAAUAGACAGAGACAAACACACUGGGGGUGAGGGAGGAUGACAUAUGCCAUGCGAGGACCAUCUACCAGCUAAGGAAUGCCAGGAGCUACUGACAAAGAAGGAAUUCAUUUGGCUGACACCCUGAUUUACACUUUUAGCCCCCAGAGCUAUAUGAAAAUAAAUUUCUGUUCUGUUUUUUCUUCUCUUUUUUUUAUAUAAGUGAAGUUAUAACAAUAUUUGUCCUUUUGUGAUUGACUUAUUUUACUCAGCAUAAUGUCUUCCAGCUCCAUCCAUACUGUACAUGUAUAAAGACUUUUCCUACCAGUUGCAUAGUAUCCCAUUGUAUUGUCAUAGAGCUUAAUCAUGGAGGCUGCUUAAAGUAAAAACAAGUUUUAUUGAGGAAAAAAAAAUUCAAAAAUUGUGAAACACAGUCUAGAAGCUCUCAACACAGUGUUUCACAGGGCAAAGAAAACAAGGGGUUUUUAAUUCAGUAGAGAAGAAAACAAGUCUACCUGGUUACAAUCAUGGCAUCUUGGAUUUACAUACAACUUUUAAGGACAAUAGCAAGUUAAACUUCUACAAGGUUAGCUGAUAGAUUUCCUGGAGUUCAAUCUUGUAAGAAAUUUUCUGCUACAUAUACAUUCUUCAUGUUGCACAAACGUAAUCUCAGAACUCUCAGGAAAACAUUCCCUGACAAGCAUUACUUCACAAACCAUAUUCUUGCCUCCUCCAUUGUUGCUGAGAGUGGUUAAAGUUUCAUUGUUUGUUAAAGUUUUCCCUUUUUUCUCUAAAGGUUACUUAUCUAGCAAAGCACAGUGGAAAUUUACAGGAAUGACAGGCAGCAGUCUUACGCUAGGACUCAAAAUGGCAUCUGACUUUGGACAAGAACAUAGCUCUUUGCUAUUAAUCAGGUGCCUCAAUUAUUCAUUUUAGGUGUUCUUUUUCAGUAAGUAUGUACCACAUUUUGUUUAUCCGUUCAUCUGUUCAUGGGCAUUUAGGUUGUUUCUACGUUUUGGCUAUUGUGACUAGUGCUAAAGUGAACAUUGGCGUAUAAGUCUUUGAGUCUCCACUUUCAAGUCUUUUCAAUUUUUUGAGGAACUGCCACACUGUUUUCCACAAUGGCCGUACUAUUUUGCAUUCUCACCAGCAAUGGAAGAGGGUUUCAAUUUCCCUACAUCCUCGCCAACGUGUUUGUUUUAAUCUUAGUCAUCCUACUGGGAGUGAAAUGGUAUCUCUUUGUGGUUUUGAUUUGCAUCUAUCUGAUAGCUAAUGACUUUGAGCAUCUUUUCACUUUUGGUGGCCAUUUGAAUGUCCUCUUUGGUGAAAUGUCUAUUCAAGUCCUUUGCCCAUUUUAUGAUUGUGUUGUCUUUUUGUUGUUGUCGUGAGGAAAAGUCUUAUAAACUACUCCACAUGAUUUGUGUCUUUCUAUAAUGUCUUUAUUAAAUGGUUUGUUUCGGGUCUUACAUUAAUUUCAUUAAUUUAUUACACAUAAACACACAUUAGCAGGUUCUUGGCCAUCCCGGAUGCCAGAUAUCUCAGAUCACCAAAGGGGGUGAAAAAUGAGAGGGACAGGUCAAACUUACAGCAAGCGAGGACAGCAAUUAGAUGGUGCAGUUCCAUGAUGCCGCUCAUUGGUUGGUGAUGAUUUCCAAUCUCACUGGUUAGUGAUGGUCUCUGGAUCAUGCAUAGCUCCCUGUGGGCUCAUGAGCCUCGUAGCAGGAAGGCCUACAAGAAAGCCCAGGAUGAGCUCUUGCUGCCCACUGCUUCAUGACCAUUCUGUUCGAUGUCUCUGGAACUAGGAGUAAGCCCGGGAUGAGCUGCCGCAGCCCACUGCUUCCUAGUUCUCAAUGUAUGACCGAGAGCAUUGUCUCUUGAACUUAGGAGUAAGCCCGGGUGAGCUGCCGCAGCCCACUGCUUCCUAACUUCUCAACGUAUGACCAAGUGGCUCUGGGAAAGCUCCGAGCGCGGUUGUCUCCUUCUAUUGCUUCUUUUAUACUCACUGGAGCUCUUUGAGCUCAUCUGGUUGAUGUUGAUAAAGUCUGAUGAUGUUAUGUGGGUUUCUUCUUGAUGAAGUCUGUCAGUCUAUCUGGUUAUCCUGAUAUGACUAUCUUCCUCGGUCAAGCCCACAAUGUCUUUUCAUCUCUUGGGCCCACUCCCCUCAUUAUAGACUGAACUGAAGAUGACAGCCACACUUGUCCAGACAUGUUCAAACAUGUCUCAUAAGCCUGCUCUCCACAGUUGUUAAGUUGUCAAAGUUUUAUGUACAUUUUGUUUAUUAGAUUCUUAUCAGAUAUAUAGUUUCCAAAGAUAUUCUCCCAGUUGUUAGCUUAUCUUUUCCCUUUUUUGGGAAAGUCUUUUGAUGAACAAAAGUUUUUAAUUUUUAUGAGGUCUCAUUUAUUUAUUUUGUUUUUUUGCUGUUUGUGCUUUUGUUAUAUUAGGUAAUCUAUUGUUAAAAACUAGGCCUGACAGCAUUGCCCCUGCAUUUUCUUCUAAAAAGUUUAUGGUUUUAGUUUGCACAUUUAGGUCUUUAAUUCAUUUUGAAUUUGUUUUUGUAUAUCAUGUGAAGCAUGAAUCCUGUUUCAUUUUUCUGCAUAUGGAAAUCCAAUUUUCCCAGCACUAUUUAUUGAAGAAACUCUUCUUUUCCCAAGGUGCUAAGAAUGGACUUAGCACCUUUGUCAAAAAUCAGUUGACCACAGAUGUGUGUGUUUAUUUCUGGACUCUCAAUUCUAUUCCAUUGGUCUAUGUGUCUAUUGUUAUGCCAGCAACAGGCUGUUUUGAUUAUUGUAGCUAUAAACUAUGUUUUAAAAUCAGAAAGUGUGAGUCUUCCUAUUCUGUUCUUCUCUUUCAACUUUGCUUUAGCUAUUUGGGGCCUCUUGCCAUUCCAUAUAAAGUUGAGUAUUGCUUUCCCAUUUUUGUAAAGAAGGUUUUUGGAAUUUUGAUCAGGAUUGCAUUGAAUCUAUAGAUUUCUUUGGGUAUUGUUGACAUCUAUCAUGGAAUGAAUUAUGUCCCCCCCCAAAAAUGUGUGUAUCAACUUGGUUAGGCCAUGAUUCCCAGUAUUGUAUGGUUGUCCUCCAUUUUGUGAUUGUAAUUUUAUGUUGAGAGGAUUAGGGUGGGAUUGUAAUACUACUCUCACUCAGGUCACCUCCCUGAUCCAAGGUAAAGGGAGUUUCCCUGGGGCGUGGUCUGCACCACAUUUUAUCCCUCAAGAGAUAAAAGGAGAGGAAAGCAAGCAGAGUUGGGUACCUCAUACCACCAAGAAAGCAGCACCAGGAGCAGAGUGCAUCCUUUGGACACGGAGUCCCUGCGUCUGAGAAGCUCCUCAACCAGGGUAAGAUUGAGGACAAGGACCUUUCUCCAGAGCCAACAGAAAGAGAAAGCCUUCCCCUGGAGCUGACACCCUGAAUUUGGACUUGUAAGCUACUAGACUGUGAGAAAAUAAAUUUCUCUUUGUUAAAGCCAUCCACUUGUGGUAUUUCUGUUGUGGCAGCACUAGAUGACUAAAACAACAUCUUAACAAUAUUAAGUCCUCCAAUCCAUGAGCAUGAAACAUCUUUCCAUUUAAGUCUUCAAUUCCUUUCAGCAGGGUUUUAUAAUUUUUAUUGUAUGAGUCCUUCACAUCCCUGGUUAAUUUCAUUCCUAGAUUUUUUAUUAUCUUAGAUGCUAUUGUAAAUGGAAUUGUUUCCCUAAUUUCCCUUUCAAAUUUCUCAUUGCUGGUGUAUAGAAAUCCAACUGAUUUUUGUUUGUUGACCUCGUACCCUGCAACUUAGCAAAAUUUCUCUAUUAUUUCUACAAGUUUUCUUGUGGAGUCUUUGAAAUUUUCUAUAUAUAUGAUCAUAUCAUCUUCAAAUAGAGAUAAUUUUACUUCUUCUUUUCCAAUCUGGAUACCUUUUAUUUCUUUUUCUUGUCUUAUUGCUGUGGCUAGAACUUCUAAUAGAAUAUUUAAUAGAAGUGGUGAGAUUGGGUACCCUUAUUUUGUUCCCAGUUUCAAGGGGCAAGCUCUUAGUUUUUCUCCCUUAAGUAUAAUGUUGGCUGUUGGCUUUUCAUAUAUGCCCUGAAUCACAUUGAGGAAUUUCCCUUUUAUUCCAAUCUUCUUCAAGGUUUUCAUCAAGAAAGGGUGUUGGAUUUUAUCAAAAGCUUUUUCUGUAUCCAUAAUCAUGUGGUUCUUUUCCUUUGUUCUAUUGAUGUAGUGUAUUAUAAAUUUCUGUUCUUUAAAGCCACCUGGAGCCCUGGUGGCACAGUGGUUAAGAGCUCACGCUGCUAACCAAAAGGUCGGCAGUUCAAAUCCACCAGCCAAUCCUUGGAAACCCUAUGAGGCAGUUCUACUCUGUCCUCAAAUGUUGCUUUGAGUUGGAAUCAACUCGAUGGCAAUGUGUAAAGCCACCUACCUGUGGUAUUUGUGUUAGAGCAGCACUAGGAAGCUAAGAUAAGAGAAUAUAAGCUCUCCUCAUUAUUGCAGCAAGCUGAAGGAAAGAAGGCCAUGGGUGGAGUGCAUUAUUCAUAUACCCUAUUGGGGGAGGGUUUACUAAAUUUAUUCAUUCAGGUUAAGCUUUAAUUUAAAUGUUCUCUUUGAUAGCAAAGGAGGAGGUCAUUCCUGGAAGAUGUUGGGCAGUGAGUGACCAGAGGAAUGUGGCAAUAGUGGCACCCAUCUUUACUAACAGUGCUGAAUCUCAGAAAUUCAUUAUAGAUGAAGUACUCAGCCCCUGUAACUCUGAAAUCUUCCCUCACCAAGCUCAAGGGGGCAUCAGAGUAAUGAAUAGUGCAAAUGUGGGAGACUAGUGCUCAGUCUUGGCCUUUCCUACCUGGACCGUCCCUGCAGAUAAAUCCUGCUCCUUGAGGAAGCUGAUCACAGAUAAUGUGGAGAAGCCUGAAGAGUUUUGUCGGUGUUAUCCCAAGAGCAGAGCCAAUACGGUCAUACGCCAAAGCCCCAACUCCUCUAUUAAUAUUCAUCCUAUUGUCUUCCAGCAUCAAACCAUGGAAACAGUGUUGUGGUCAAUAGUGCUGUUUACCAAAUAAGUCCAGUUAUACCCCCUUCCAGGUACAUGGUAGGACUGUAUUUCCUGGCUGCUUUCUGGUUGAAUGGGGUCAUGUGACUAGUUCUUGCCAAUGAGUUGUGAGUGGAAGUGAUGUGUACCACUUCUUCGUCUUUAAUUGCCCACGUGAGACCCUCCUGUGCAUUUUUUCCUUUGGACCUGGCAACU